UACGUAGGGGGCAAGCGUUGUCCGGAUUUAUUGGGCGUAAAGAGCGUGUAGGCGGUCAGGUAGGUCCGUUGUGAAAACUCGAGGCUCAACCUCGAGACGCCGAUGGAAACCAUCUGACUAGAGUCCGGAAGAGGAGAGUGGAAUUCCUGGUGUAGCGGUGAAAUGCGCAGAUAUCAGGAAGAACACCCGUGGCUAAGGCGGACGAUCCUGGGGAAGAAGUACUGACGCUGGAGGUGC
rnacentral:rRNA from 1 species